rnacentral:rRNA from 1 species
AUGAACGCUGGCGGCGUGCCUAAUACCUGCCAGUCGAGCGAACGGACGAGAAGCUUGCUUCUCUGAUGUUAGCGGCGGACGGGUGAGUAACACGUGGAUAACCUACCUAUAAGACUGGGAUAACUUCGGGAAACCGUAGCUAAUACCGGAUAAUAUUUUGAACCGCAUGGUUCAAAAGUGAAAGACGGUCUUGCUGUCACUUAUAGAUGGAUCCGCGCUGCAUUAGCUAGUUGGUAAGGUAACGGCUUACCAAGGCAACGAUGCAUAGCCGACCUGAGAGGGUGAUCGGCCACACUGGAACUGAGACACGGUCCAGACUCCUACGGGAGGCAGCAGUAGGGAAUCUUCCGCAAUGGGCGAAAGCCUGACGGGGCAACGCCGCGUGAGUGAUGAAGGUCUUCGGAUCGUAAAACUCUGUUAUUAGGGAAGAACAUAUGUGUAAGUAACUGUGCACAUCUUGACGGUACCUAAUCAGAAAGCCACGGCUAACUACGU